GGCUUGGUAGCUUAGUUGGUAAAGCACUUGUCUAGCGAAUAAGGGUCGUGAGUUCAAAUCUCACCUGAGCUU
rfam:Aedes albopictus isolate Foshan contig135592, whole genome shotgun sequence.